rnacentral:rRNA from 1 species
CAUUGUCGAAAUCGAACGGAAGGAUGACCCGCGAACAGUACUUGCGUCUAUGAGAGGAGGGCCCGUGGGCAUAACGAUCGCGCGGCUCUCGUCGUACCGACGGAUAAUCAUUUUUCAGCACGGAUCGUGCCAAGGAGCUGAAUGGAGAGAAUCGUCGUCCCACGCCUCCGGCUGCCCUCGUUGCGUGGCUGUAGGCGUGGACGCACGUGGCCUCUACUAAAACAAGUCUGAAUGACUCUCGGCAACGGAUAUCUCGGCUCUUGCAUCGAUGAAGAACGUAGCGAAAUGCGAUACUUGGUGUGAAUUGCAGAAUCCCGCGAGCCAUCAAUUUUUUGAACGCAAGUUGCGCCCGAAGCCAUUCGGCCGAGGGCACGCCUGCCUGGGCAUCGUGAAUCCCCUUGCCCUUGGACACCCGUCGCUCAUGCGUGCGCAUUGCGCGGGGCAGUCCUUGGUGCAGAACGUGGUUCUCCCGUGAGAUCCGCACGCGCGGCGUGCCGAGGAGCGGUUGGCCGAAAUUUGAGCAGGGAGGUGACGGGAACCACGCCGUUCGGUGGAUCUAAUUAGAUUGGCUGCUUCGUGGUCUCGGCACGCGUCUCGCUCCGAGCUUUGACGAUCCCGAGUGCGA